CCUACGGGUGGCUGCAGUGGGGAAUAUUGGACAAUGGGCGAAAGCCUGAUCCAGCCAUGCCGCGUGUGUGAAGAAGGCCUUCGGGUUGUAAAGCACUUUCAGUGGGGAAGAAAGCCUUGGGGCUAAUACCCUCGAGGAAGUACAUCACCCACAGAAGAAGCACCGGCUAACUCCGUGCCAGCAGCCGCGGUAAUACGGAGGGUGCGAGCGUUAAUCGGAAUUACUGGGCGUAAAGCGCGCGUAGGCGGUCUGAUAAGCCGGUUGUGAAAGCCCCGGGCUCAACCUGGGAACGGCAUCCGAAACUGUCAGGCUAGAGUGCAGGAGAGGAAGGUAGAAUUCCCGGUGUAGCGGUGAAAUGCGUAGAGAUCGGGAGGAAUACCAGUGGCGAAGGCGGCCUUCUGGACUGACACUGACGCUGAGGUGCGAAAGCGUGGGUAGCAAACAGGAUUAGAUACCCCUGUAGUC
rnacentral:rRNA from 1 species